CUUGAAAGCACUUUUUAAAAAUGGGCCUAUUGGAGGACUUGAACCUGACACCUUUGUAGACCCUUCCAGGGUCCGGCUGGAAGGAGGCGGCGGCAGGGCCCUGUCCUUGGACAGCCUGGUGGCCGCGCCUCGAGCUUCUCCCGGCCCCCCAUCCCCAGCGUCCCCGCUCCCGCCACCAGCCCCGGCCGCGCCUGGGGAGCGGGGGUUCACGGGAAAAGGAGCAGGCGGCCACUGUGCGACCCCAGCCAGUGCCGGGACAGCCCCGCAGCCUCAGCCACUGCUCCCCCGAGCCCGAGCCCGAGCCCGGAAUGGAUCCGUCCCGGAAAUAAAUAAAUAAAUAAAACCCGCGGCGGCUGCUCCGGGUGUGUGCUGCGCGCACCUGAGGCCGACCUGUGAUUCACCGCGGGAGGGAUGGCAGUUGACAACGCUCUAGGGAAGUCCACAGUGACUCCUCUGCCGGGACGCCGCUGGUUGUAUAGGAAAAGCACGCGGACGGGAAGCCACACUCACCGAAAACCUCAGUAUACUAAAUUGAUGAGUUUACAUCUGUUCCAUCAAUGACCACGGUGCACACCUGUUUUUCUUCAUGGCUGGCAACUACAGAUCUAGCUUUAUUGGGGAGUGAAGCCUGCUGCACAUAAUGGAGAACACUGGCCCAGUCACUCAAAUCACAAAGGCUAUUUCAUAUGUGCUUUAAAGAUACAAGACAGAUAGGGGUUUUGAUCAAAGCCACAGACCUGCAUUCCUGCUGUGCCUCCAUUCCUGAAUACCACAGACUCUGCCCAGUUUGCUGGAAUGAAUUCUGAGCUGCCACAUGCCUCAGUGAGACAGUGAAAACUUCAACUCAUCAAUGACUGGGUCAAACCACUCUGAAGACAAGCAGCUCUCCCAGGUGCUCAACACUAGGACUGUUUCUGAAGCCUUGAUGAGAAUAACUGGCUUCCUGAAGGGAAAGUAAGGAGCCUAAACCCGAUUACGAGCAAGGAAGUACAAGGAGAGGCAGGUGGAGUCUGAAAAUGCUUCUGUGGAUCCUAGAGAAGAGGCAGGAUCCAAGGCCAUUUAACAACGUCAAGGUCCUAGAAACUCUUACCUUUGGAAGCCCCAUCUGACAUAUUGUCAAACAAAUUAAAACACACCAACACCCUACAUGAUCUUUUUUUCCUGUAAAAUAUUUUCUAUUUUAUAUUUUCGCUUCGUAUCUCAGUAAUCCUCACACACACUUGGGAAUUCUCAUGAAGUACAAAGAUCUAAAAUAGAAAUUGUUUUCAAAUGCAACGUUUUUGUGAGCAUUCAAUUUAACAAUUAUUGAAGUUGAUAUAUUAUGUUUACAAAUAUGUCUUAUUUCCCUGAAUAAAGCUGUAAGCCACAACCUGAUUCUAGAAACGUUAAAAUGGGAACAAUGUAUGUGUUCACAGGUAAAUUAUGGUAUAAAUUUUGCUUCUACAGUUUUCUUGUUGUGGUUUUCAACCAAAAUCUCUCUCUUCUUUGUAGACUCAAACUUGUCAAAAUUCUGUGAAUGUCUCUUCAUGCUUGAGAAACUGGGUGUAAGUGGAAAGGCAGUAUUGUACAGUGCUUGAGAACAUAAAUCCUGGAGCCACCGCCCAUGUUUUUAACUACAAUAUCAGUAGUUUCUAGUUCUGUGAUCUUGGAUAAGUUACUUAACCUCUAAGUACCUUAGUUUCCUAUUCUGUAAAAUGGGAAUAAUAGUACUUACCUCAUGGGACUGUUGCUAGGAUAGUUAAUAUUUUUAAAGUAUUUAAAACAAUCUCUGAUAUUCCAGAAAUGUUACUGUUAUUUUAUACCUAACAGAUAAAAUAGUUCUGGAAGAAUCACUCACUUCCCCUAACAAAGCGGCUCACCCAUUGGAAGCUGUCUUGAAGGAACGGAAUGAACCCCAAAUUUCAGGCAGUUAUAUCCAUAUACCAAGCCCUGGUCCAAUAUCCUUAAUUUUACCUUUUCCUUCCCAAAGUUUCUUCUCUAAAAGAGGAAGAAGGGUAAUCCCAAUGCUAAGAAUAACCCCCUUCAGGUUAAAGGUCAGUGACAGAAUCAGAGAGACUAAGCACCUUUUCUUUCCCCAGAAUAAAUACUAGAGUCUCUUCCCUCUAGUGGCUGAAGUAUACAAUUACAACGCCCCCAGCCGACUGCAUUCUUAGGGUCUGUUGUAAUGGAAAUAAUUCAGAGGAUGGUAAACUUAAGUGAAAAGUCAGCUUUAGGCCAGUGGAGAACUAGGCACAAAACAACAAACCAUUGAGUUGUUGUUGUUGUUUUUUAAUAAAGCAAUAUUAAGCAUUUGCACAGUGUCAUAAUUAUUAACCUUAGCAUCACAAAAAGAGCAACUUUAAUUAAA